UACGGAGGAUCCAAGCGUUAUCCGGAUUUAUUGGGUUUAAAGGGUGCGUAGGCGGCUUAUUAAGUCAGGGGUGAAAGACGGUGGCUCAACCAUCGCAGUGCCCUUGAUACUGUAAGACUUGAAUUCGAUCGAAGUGGGCGGAAUAUGACAUGUAGCGGUGAAAUGCAUAGAUAUGUCACAGAACACCAAUUGCGAAGGCAGCUUACUAUGGUGUCAUUGACACUGAGGCACGAAAGCGUGGGGAUCAAACAGG
rnacentral:rRNA from 1 species